rfam:Canis lupus familiaris chromosome X, whole genome shotgun sequence.
AAGAGCAACAGCCCUAGUGGCGGGGCCAGCUCUGGAGCCCUGGAUUCAGCCCCCGCAGGAACUCCAGAGCUCUCCAUCCGCAGGGCCUGGGGGCUCCGGGGCGGG